UCUAACUUACUAUCCCCAAGACAAAUAGCGUUGACAUGAGCUUUGGGGUUCGUUUCAGGUUGACCAGGAAAGACUCCUGGUGUUUGAGAAGAGGCGGCCACUUGUUGGGCCACUUGGGAGAUUUGGGUCUCAAGCAUUUUGGUGUGUGUGGCGAUAGAAUCGACCUUGGUAGUGAGUUUGGAGAGAGAGUCGUUCAGAAAUCCUGUUUGGUUUUUCAGUUCUUGAAGAUUUUUAUUUUGAUUAGCUAUGCAAUUUUCCAACAAAAUCUCCAAACUUGAUUUCUG
rnacentral:lncRNA from 1 species